rnacentral:rRNA from 1 species
UUUUAUGGAGAGUUUGAUCCUGGCUCAGGAUGAACGCUGGCGGCGUGCCUAAUACAUGCAAGUCGAGCGAACGGACGAGAAGCUUGCUUCUCUGAUGUUAGCGGCGG